AGUAGGAAAAAAAAGUGACCCAUCCAUGGCCCAUGAAAACCUUUGCACUGUUUAACAGACCCUCAAAGCAUGUUGUGUAACACCUGAGUUAGAAGCAGUACAGGUGUUAAGUUACUACCGGAGAAACAGAAAACCUUGCAAGGAAAGGACAUCUCUCUAUGGGAUUGUAACAAGGAAUAUAAUGUGGUCCACAAGGCACUUAGUUUUAUCCUCCUGGCCAAAUGAGUGAUGAAUAGGCUGGUUUUCACUGUGAUUAAGUUUUUUCACAGUAGCUGGUAUGGGACUGUGUUUCAGAUUUGCUGAAAACAGUACUGAUAAUACACAGAUGUUUUAGUUAUCACUGAACAGUUCUUAUACAGUAUCAAGCCCUUUUCUGCACCUUAUCUCAUCCCACAAGCCAUCCUAGGGAUGUCUGAAUGUCUGCCUGCCAAUGGAAAGCAGUGAAUGAAUCCUUGUUUUGCUGUGCCUGUGUGUGUGGCUUUUGCUUUCCCUAUUAAACAGCUUUUAUCUUGAGUCACGAGUUUUCGCACUUGUUUUCCUCUGAUUCACUCCCCUGUUCUGCUGUUGGGGGAGGAAUGAGCAAGCAGCUUUGGAGCUGAGUUGCCAGCUGGAGUUACACCGUGACAUAACCUUUCAGAAGCUGUCUUCCUCCAGUAAUAGAUUUUAAAGGCAUCCUUCUUCAAAAACAGAUCAGCAGCCCAGGAUAGCUUUAUUUUUUUCUGAGCUGUGCCUUCUUUUAUGUGGGACCUGACUAAAAGAACUGAAAGACCACAAUAAAGUUUCUGCAAAACUUUCCCUUCUCCAGGCUGAACAACCUCAUCUCUUGGAUUCCUUUGCCAGGAACAGAAAGACCACAGUAAGCUUUCUGCAAAAAUUUCCCUUCUCCAGGCUGAGCAGCCUCAUCUCUUGGAUUCCUUCACCAGGAACUGAAGGACCACAGUAAAGUUUCUGCAAAACUUCCCUUUCUCCAGGCUGAACAACCUCACCUCUUGGCCUGCCUUCAUAGGAGAUGGACUCCAGCACACUGAUAAUCUUGGUGGCUCUUCUCUGCUCACUCCAGCAUGUCUGCAUCCUUUGUGGGCUGUGGAUCCCAGAGCAGAUGCAGUGCUCCAGCAUAAUUGAAGAUUAAUUGCGUGGAAGAGGCAGACUGAAAAGGAGCAUGAAUCUGUGGCCACACGGUCACUGGAGAGUAACUGGAAAUACUCUAAAUCCCAAUAAUGUACUUUGUUCAGUAACAGUUCUUGAAACAGCACCAGGUAUCAAAAUUUUUAUUUUAUUUCAUAUUUCAAGUUUUAUUUUUAAAAUGAAACUGUUAUCAGUGGCUGUCAACUCAUGUGUUUCCUGUGGUGGAAACAUUUUUCAGCCCUUUGAUGGGAAGCAAAAGAAGCCCCAUUAGCAGGGGAAGAUGCUAAGCCCAUGCACUAAGGUGUUCAUGGCACUCUGGGUAACUCCAGCACCUCUGAGUGCUCCAGUCAUUCCAUAAGCAUUUAAUCUAAUGACACUUUAAUUAAUUACAGACCUUGAAACACAGACCAGAAGAAGGGCCUUGUGACAUUAAAUCCCUUUGAUGUUCCUGCCAACCCCUGAAUCUCAGGUGUUGAACAGGGACUUGGCAGUGGUGGGGAGCCCUCACCUGCGAGGUGAGACCCCUGCUCGGGACCUUCACUGAGGGAGGAGAACCUGGAGCGGUGUCUGUGCCUCACAGGAAGGUCCUACCUGCUGAUCCUUACCUCUGGCUCCUGGGACUCACUGCAGGGCUGUCCUGCAGUGUUAGCAGACUGGCUGACCUCGGGAAGGGAGCUGGUUCUUAGCAGUGCUAAAAGGCCACCCUGGCACACAGAGGCACAUGCAGGAGGAUUACGGCGCAGUCUGAACUGGGCACACUGAGCACCUCAGCGCCAUCAGAACGAACAAACAAACGUGUGAUGCACAGAGCCCUUUUGAGUGAUGCCUAUCAAAUGCACAGCCCGUGGCACUUUGUGCAUUUGGCUGACUGCAAGAAAAUCUCUGCACGAUGGAGUCCAAGUCUUCUGUGUGACUGGUGCAGAGCUCACAGCCUGGCUGACAGCAGCAACAGAGGAAUGCAUGGAACUGAAGGAGUGGCAGCCAGAAACAAACAGUGAUUUUGAUUGAUCAUAUUUUGCCCUGCUGGUUGUUCUACUUCAAGGAACAUGGCCUUGGGAAUACUAAUGACUAUGUCAAUCAACAAGUUUCUGAAAAUUAAGGACUUCCAAAUUCCAAAGGCUCUCUUCAGGUACUGGAAGGACACAAGUCGCCUUCUUAUCUUCAGGCUGAAUAUUCCCAGUUCUCUCAGCUCUUCCUCAGAGGAAAGGAGCUCAAUCUCUUCAACCAUCUUUGUGUCCCUCCUCUGGACUGUCUCCAGAGGUCCCUGUGCCUCCUGUGCUGGGAGCCCAGCUCUGUGUGCAGUGCUCCAGGUGGGUCUCAGCAGAGCAGAGCAGAGCAGAGCAGAGGGGCAGAAUCCCCUCCCUGCCCUGCUGCCCACGGGGCUCUGGGUGCAGCCCAGGACACCUUUGGCUCUCUGGGCUGGCAGUGCCAUGGCUGGGCCAUGUGCAGCCUCUCACCCACAGCACCCCCAAGCCCUUCAUAUCCCAACUUCUUUUCUAAAGAUAUUAAUGAAUCUUUACAAUAAGCACACUAAAUUAUCUUGGAAUACUUUUCAAGGCUAUAUUGUAUUUAUGAGGGCUUGCUUUUAAUAUUAAUUUAAAUUAGAUAGAUAGAUAGAUAGAUAGAUAGAUAGAUAGAUAGAUAGAUAGAUAGAUAGAUAGAUAGAUAGAUAGAUACUAUUACUGGAACAGAUUUACAGAAAAUGCCACCUUUUUUAAUACGCUCUUUCUUAAAAAAAUCCAACAAAGUAUGGAUGUGGCACAACUAUGACUUGUGUUAAAAACCUAAUUAAUAAUUUCAUUUUAAUUCAUAACUUACCUUGCUUGCAUCAGUGGGACUACUCAUACUGAAAGCUUAGAUAUGCUUUGCAAAAGCAUGGUCUUCAUUAAUAGUUAAUACCCAUGGACAUUAAUUUAUUUAAUCAGAAGCUAAAAUACUGACUUUACAACCUUUAAAAAACCUGAAUUACCUAAAUAUUUCUUCUCUUCCAAGUAAAAGCCAUCUCAUUUUCUUCCAGUUAUUUCAUAAAUUUUUAUUAAUUUCAGUUUUUACCUCCUCUUCUUCUCUUUCCCCUGCAACAUUGUACAUUUCCCUGGGACAGAUAUUUUUGUUUUAAAUAUUCCACAUUUUCUUUUUAUAUUUGCUAUACUUGUGGCAAUCAUGAGCAUGGCUUGCAAACAAAUUGUUUGCAUAACUACCAAAAGACAUGGCCAAUGUGAUGAAUACUUUACAUGUUUGCCUGUGUUUCCUAACAGCUACAGAAAUAAGCAAAACCCCACACUCUUCCAUGAUUUUAAUGUUAAAUACAAUGGCUAAGCUAUUCUUUAUAAAGGAGAAAAAGCUACCUUAGCUCCUGCCACAUGACACAACUGUUCUGCCAGAUGAGAAACAGCCAUAAAAGAUGGCCUGUAAAUGGUUAAAAAGAUAAAACCCUUAGCUGUUGAGGCACUGGAUGGAGGACUGUGGGAAAGUGACCAAGGAAGACACCCUUAUGGAGUCUGAAAGUUUGGCUGUUGUAUACAAGCUUGGGAUGCCUUUGGUAAGAGUUAGAGGAGACAGUUGCAUACGCUCAUUAAUUAUUGUAAAUGUCACUUUCUUUUAUGUUUAGUUCCUUAAGAUUAAAGAGAGCCUUGGUUUAAGAAGACUGACUGAACAUUGCAUUAACUCCCGGUUCCAGUCUUCUGAAGGGAACAAAUGCAGGCACCCAAAUCUAAUUAUCUCUGUGAAGUUAAGCAAGGUUGUGCAGCAGUGGUCGAGCAAACACUAUAUGACUUUGCUUGGCUACAGGAAAGAGUAUAGCUGCAGCAGCACAGAGGCUCAUGUUCCCCCUUCUUCAGCGUCUCAUUUAGGGUUUGCUCAGAGAUCAGUACCCCACAGCCUGCAGUGUAAAUGUGACAUGGUCUACUGAUGGAAUUAGUCCCCGGUUUUUAAGGGUUAAUCUUGCAAGGUGCUGAAUGCUUCCCACCCUAUCAAUUCCAUCUAAAUAGGAAAUACUUGACAAUCCCUUUCAAUUUGGGGUUACAGAUUCCUAGUUAAGGUGAGGCACAGGCUGGCUGCAAUGGAGGUUGAAGGAAAGCAUCAGCACCUAAUAAUAGAUGGUGACUUGGUGAAUGAUAUUUAUUUAUUAUUUAUCAUCUGCUAUGAUAUAGCAGAAAAUGGACUUAACUGGUUAUUUUUAGCAAGGUAAGUAUUAUUUAUGGUUUCACUACUUUCUGGCAUGACUAUUUGCUAUUAAGAAAUUGCAAUCUGGAUAAGAGAACAGAGUAGAUUGUUUUAAGGUUUUUAAUCAUGUAUUUGCUCAGAAAUUGAGAAAUUUACCUGAGAAAUUUACUAUGUAGUAAAUGCUUAAUGCUGCACUUAAUGACCCCAGAAAUAGUACAAAUUUCAGGAAUUCUGUACUCUUGAGCCAUUCACUAAACUUCUGGGACCAGUGUGUCCCUGGGAGCAGUGUGUGAACUCGGAGCAGUGUUUACAGGUCUCAGGGUCAUAAAUUCAGCUAUCCUGUGUGCAUAGCAAAGCCAUCCAGGUUCCCUGUGAAGUGACUGGAAGAAGUAAAGCUCUUGGGAAGGUUAUUUGGAAGAGCUGUAAAGAGGCACAGCCUGUGGCCAGGUAAGGGAGGGACCUGAAAUUCUGCCUCUCCCCUGGGCUUAUCUGCACCCCUGGAGACAGGUGCCUCAGAUUGAUGGGGAGGCUUUGUUAUGCUCAGGCAGAAGGGUGGACCUUGGGCACUGAUCACUGCUUGGCCUUAGGCUGUAACUGAUAAGAGGCACAGUAAGCUCGAUUUAAUGACAGCCUAUUACACACUCAGGACUCUCAAAUUCUAGAGAAAUAUGCUACCUAUCCUGCCGCAGAGUAAUCGUGAAUUGAGGCCCCAUCACUUCCAUUACAGAGCAUUGCCUUUGUGCAGCCAGGAAUGCCCACGACUUGUAGAAAUAGCAAGGUUACUGGAAUGAGGCAAAUCUGUUCAGGAACUGGCAGGUACUUAAGGGCUUCCCUCUGUGCUUGAUGGUGACUGACAUCACAAAGUUGUGUAUAUAAGGUUUCGAAAUAUUCCUGCUUGCCUGUCUUUUAAAACUCCAGUUUCUGUAAAAAAAAGUUCAAUUUCAGCCCUUUUAAUGCAAGCUGCUUAUGCAGUGAGAUACCAAGAGUGGGCUGCAAAAAGGGUACUGACUGUAUGCACAGGAGUUCAGAGUUGAAAAGAGGGAAUAAUGAGAUGCACCAGGAAAAGAAAUGUCCUAAUUGUGUAAGAGUUAGUGAGGAAAGGAAAACUAAAUAGGGGAAGUGAGGCAAACAAGCAAAGACUGAAAGCUGAGCUGAUACUAGUGAAGGAGGAAAAAGAACAAGUUAAAACCAUCAUUACAAAGUAUAAAACUAAGAUUUACAAUGAAAUGUGGUGUCAUUUGGGACUCUAAUUGCAUGCUUUACUAAACAUUGCUAGGAGCAUUUAUCAUGCCAGCAGCCAUAGGUUUAGCUACUGUGGGCCUCGGUGCCAUCUGGAAAGAUGAGCAUUCACUUGAAUGGAAUGUUAGAGAUCAUUGUCAUAGCAAUUCAGAGCAAUCCACACUACAUCUGUGUAUAGCACCUGUACAUGUUUAUGGGGUUUUUUUUGAGGUGACUAUUUAGGCUGUUUAAUACAUACAGUUUUUAAAAUUAUAAAUAAAUACAGUUAUUUUGGACUGAAUUGUAAAAAAUAAGGCUUAGUCUUCUAUCACUUCAAUGCUUUCCCCCCCCCCAUUACUAUUAAAAUUAAAAAAAAAAGUAAUGUGAGUUUUUACUCCAUUAGCUAUGAGAUAGCUUAAAAUAAUUCCUCAAAACUUACUGUGUGGAUGUCAUGGGACAGAGAGAGAGAAACGGCAAGCGCUUCUCACAGCGGCUUGUGAGAAUUUUUAGGGAGUUGUAAGGACGUGAUAACUUGUUAAGUAUAAACAAUCUGCAGGUGGUGUUUUUCUACUUUGUCUCUGUUCUUUUCAAGGACGGUGUAUGAGGAAGAUGUUUUUGUUAGUUAGCUAAUCAAAUAGAAUGUAUCGUAUCACUAAACAAACCGUGUGGUUCUCUUGAAUAAAGCCUUCUUUGCUCUUUCUACAA